ensembl:lncRNA
CCUCAGCUCUUCCAGUCUCUCUAAUGUACCUAAAGAGAAGGGGCUCCAUGGCAGACUGCUGCUCCUGCUAAGUUGCUUCAGUCAUGUCCGACUCUGUGCGACCCCAUAUAGACGGCAGCCCCCCAGGCUCCCCCGUCCCUGGGAUUCUCCAGGCAAGAACACUGGAGUGGGCUGCCAUUUACCUCUCCAAUGCAUGAAAGUGAAAAGUGAAAGUGAAGUUGCUCAGUCGUGUCCGACUCUUAGCGACCCCGUGGACUGCAGCCUAACAGGCUCCUCCAUCCAUGGGAUUUUCCAGGUUUUCUUAAAUACCUUGAAGAAACAUCAUGCUGCUGCUGCUGCUAAGUCGCUUCAGUCGUGUCCGACUCUGUGCAACCCCAGAGACGGCAGCGCAGCAGGCUCCCCCAUCCCUGGGAUUCUCCAGGCAAGAACACUGGAGUGGGUUGCCAUUUCCUUCUCCAGUGCAUGAAAGUAAAAAGUGAAAGUGAAGUCGCUCAGUCAUUUCCGACUCCUAGCGACCCCAUGGACUGCAGCCCACCAGGCUCCUCCAUCCAUGGGAUUUUCCAGACCUGUUCCCCCAGGUGUCACUGACCUCCUGCAAUUCUAGCUGCUAUGAGGUGAAUGCUGGGUACAGCAGAGAGCUUCCAGAUCCUGUUCCAGGGUCCCCAAAAGUCCUGCCUUCCAGGCACCACCAGUUUCUAUGACCCCCUCAGGGCUCUGAGGGCUGGCCUCUUCACACCAGCUGUUCGGGAAAGUCCAGAUUCUCCAAGUGGGCUUCUAGCAGCCUGCUGGCCCGCCAGCCAGCCCACCACAGCUUUUACUUGACAACUGCUGUCCAUGCAUCAUCCUCCAAGUCAGAAGAAGACUGGCGUCCUACAAGGGAGAUAACAGUUUGGGGCAUCCUGAGAGUCAAGUACACGGUGCUCCUGGAACCAUACUUUGGCUGUGGCCACAGGCUACCAGUCUCGUUUGUCCUCAGAGCCCUCCUCUUCUAUGAGUCGCAUGUAGGAACUGCAGUCACCACAAAAUGAACUCUCACCAGAGUAAGGAGACAGGUAACAGGCACUGAGAAGGUAAUAGGAGCUUCUGAGGCCAGCAGUAGGAGGUUGUAAGCAACAGAUGCGUCCCGUGGAGCCAUGCGGGGUACUAGUGCCUGAGAUAAAGACUUUAAUAGUGCCUGCUGAAAUUAACUUCCAUUUAAAACCCACCAAAAGCCCAAAGGAAGUAGGUAUUAGCAUUAAUUUUAUACUUAUUUAGUGAUUGUCUCUAUAGGCAUCCUUAUAUCCUUAUCCUUAUGUUAACUCCUAUGAUUAAAUACUGUAAUUCUCAGCAUCCCCAUUUUACAGAUCAGAAAACAGGCAUAGAGAAGUUGUUUAAAACUUAAUGUGCAGAGCUGGAAUUUGAACUCGAAGAAACCCAAGAUGUCUGAUCUGACCUAAUGGAUUAGGUUUGAUUCAAUUAAAUAUUCUAAUAAAACAAUUUUCUUGACAAUGAUAAAGAUACCAAACUAGUAU